UACGUAGGGUGCGAGCGUUAAUCGGAAUUACUGGGCGUAAAGCGCACGUAGGCGGCUAUUCAAGUCAGAGGUGAAAGCCCGGGGCUCAACCCCCGGAACUGCCUUUGAAAACUAGAUAGCUAGAAUCUUGGAGAGGUCAGUGGAAUUCCGAGUGUAGAGGUGAAAAUUCGUAGAUAUUCGGAAGAACACCAGUGGCGAAGGCGACUACUGGACAAGUAUUGACGCUGAGGUGCGAAAGCGUGGGGGAG
rnacentral:rRNA from 1 species